AAUGAACGCUGGCGGCGCGCCUAAUACAUGCAAGUCGAGCGAGAAGACGUAGCAAUACGUUUGUAAAGCGGCGAACGGGUGAGGAAUACAUGGGUAACCUACCCUAGAGUGGGGAAUAACUAGCCGAAAGGUUAGCUAAUACCGCGUACGCUCCUUGGACUUCGGUUCAGGGAGGAAAGCGAUGCCGAGGGUAUCGCGCUCUUGGGAUGGGCUCAUGUCCUAUCAGCUUGUUGGGAGGUAACGGCUCACCAAGGCUUCGACGGGUAGCUGGUCUGAGAGGACGAUCAGCCACACUGGCACUGCGACACGGGGCCAGGACUCCUACGGGAGGCAGCAGUAAGGAAUAUUGCGCAAUGGGCGAAAGCCUGACGCAGCGACGCCGCGGUGGGGGAUGGAAGGUCUUCGG
rnacentral:rRNA from 1 species